UGAGCGCCCAAACCCAGGAUUUAACGGCAGUGCUGGCAGCCAGUGGAUCUCGGGAUCUCGUCGCCUUUGUGCAAGCGGGGCUGUGCCAUCAGAGUGAAUUUAGAGGGUCUACACAG
rnacentral:snoRNA from 1 species